ensembl:rRNA nuclear encoded rRNA 5S 171
GUCUGCAGCUAUACCACCCUGAGUGUACCUGCUCUAGUCUGAUCUCAGAAACUAAGUAGGGUAAGGUCUGCUUCAUACU